UACAGAGGUCCCAAGCGUUGUUCGGAUUCAUUGGGCGUAAAGGGUGCGUAGGUGGCGUCGUAAGUCGGGUGUGAAAUCUCGGGGCUUAACUCCGAAACUGCAUUCGAUACUGCGGUGCUUGAGGACUGGAGAGGAGACUGGAAUUUACGGUGUAGCAGUGAAAUGCGUAGAGAUCGUAAGGAAGACCAGUGGCGAAAGGCGGGGUCUCUGGAAAGUUCCUGACACUGAGCACGAAGGCCAGGGGAGCAAACGGG
rnacentral:rRNA from 1 species